rnacentral:rRNA from 1 species
AGAGUUUGAUCGUGGCUCAGGAUGAACGCUGGCGGCGUGCCUAAUACAUGCAAGUCGAACGCACAGCGAAAGGUGCUUGCACCUUUCAAGUGAGUGGCGAACGGGUGAGUAACACGUGGAUAACCUACCUCAAGGUUGGGGAUAACAUUUGGAAACAGAUGCUAAUACCGAAUAAAACUUAGUAUCGCAUGAUACCAGGUUAAAAGGCGCUACGGCGUCACCUAGAGAUGGAUCCGCGGUGCAUUAGUUAGUUGGUGGGGUAAAGGCUUACCAAGACAAUGAUGCAUAGCCGAGUUGAGAGACUGAUCGGCCACAUUGGGACUGAGACACGGCCCAAACUCCUACGGGAGGCUGCAGUAGGGAAUCUUCCACAAUGGGCGAAAGCCUGAUGGAGCAACGCCGCGUGUGUGAUGAAGGCUUUCGGGUCGUAAAGCACUGUUGUAUGGGAAGAACAGCUAGAGUAGGGAAUGACUUUAGUUUGACGGUACCAUACCAGAAAGGGACGGCUAAAUACGUGCCAGCAGCCGCGGUAAU